UUUAGAAAUAACUGCUUUAUAUUGUGGAAAAAUGUGUCGUAUGUCUCUUUUAAUUCUUAGUUUUAAUUUAGCUAUGGUGUUCCUGUAACAUUGGAGAUGUACGACUGUGCACAACUAUUGAGAGCUUGUGUAGCUGAUGUCUGGGAUUAUCUCUAUCAUUGUUUUUAAAUGUGUUUUACUGUAGUUGUGGAAAACAUUAGCUCUUUCCAGCCAAUAGUAAGCACUCUGGCCAAAGCUUUGUGCAGCUGUAAUUUAAAACGUAUUAUUCCCAUCCCUGCCACUUGGGAUUUCCAAGAAUGGGACAGACUGUCACAUCCCACACUUUUUUUUUAGUCUGCUUCACCACUGUGACUCUUGCUUUCCUGCUAUGACAAACAGGAAAGCUUGUUUAGGCGCUUUUCCAACAUGGAGCGUUUCUGUGUUUGCUUGCUUGCUUUGGACUGAAUGUGUUGGUUUCGGGGAAGUCAUGCCAUGGAGAGAAACUUCCGGGUGGCCAUCGGCGGACCAACCGCACCCGCAGCAUUCUUUGAAAACAGUCUUGCCUAUGCAGUUUCCAGCGCAGAGGAACACGACAGAGGAAGGCAUCCGCAGCUUCCACGCAUCUGUCCUCUCUCCGAGUUCUGGUGUCAGAGAGCAAAAACACAAUAACCAGUCCUGGAUACCUCACCUCUUGCCCAAGUUCGUUUGGGACUCCGUGUUACUGUGACUGGUGCAAGAGAUAUUCUUGACCCUCAGAUGCUGCGGCACUUAAACAAGGAGGCCAGCCUCUACAGUUUAGGAGGGAAGGCAGGACUUUUCUCCAUGCGGAUACUCAUGCGGUCAAAAGAGUGACCUCUGCACCAUGAGAUUACAUCAUCCAAACUUUAUACCACUUUUUAUUACAAACACAACAUGUGAUUUUAAUCGUGGUUUUCUAACAUUCCUAUAAUUUGUCUUUAAUUAAAGAAAAAGUGAUUUUGUUUUUAUUAUCAUUAAAGCAUUUUGUUUUA